GGCGUGGUGCCAGAGUGGUUAAUGGGUGAGACUCGAAUCCUUCUCGCAAGAGAAGUGUAUAAGAUAUCUCAUGACUUCGGUCGCGCAAGUUCGAAUCUUGUCCACGUCG
rfam:Diplodia seriata DS_831_scaffold_v01_18, whole genome shotgun sequence.